rnacentral:rRNA from 1 species
GAUGAACGCUGGCGGCGUGCCUAAUACAUGCAAGUCGAGCGAACAGACGAGGAGCUUGCUCCUCUGACGUUAGCGGCGGACGGGUGAGUAACACGUGGAUAACCUACCUAUAAGACUGGGAUAACUUCGGGUAACCGGAGCUACUACCGGAUAAUAUAUUGAACCGCAUGGUUCAAUAGUGAAAGAGGGUUUUGCUGUCACUUAUAGAUGGAUCCGCGCCGCAUUAGCUAGUUGGUAAGGUAACGGCUUACCAAGGCAACGAUGCGUAGCCGACCUGAGAGGGUGAUCGGCCACACUGGAACUGAGACACGGUCCAGACUCCGACGGGAGGCAGCAGUAGGGAAUCUUCCGCGAUGGGCGGAAGCCUGACGGAGCAACGCCGCGUGAGUGAUGAAGGUCUUCGGAUCGUAAAACUCUGUUAUUAGGGAAGAACAAAUGUGUAAGUAACUAUGCACGUCGUGACGGUACCUAAUCAGAAAGCCACGGCUAACUACGUG